UGUGUAGGCGGUCCUCUAAGUUUGGUGUGAAAUCUCCCGGCUCAACUGGGAGGGUGCGCCGAAUACUGAAGGACUAGAGUGCGGGAGAGGAGAGUGGAAUUCCUGGUGUAGCGGUGAAAUGCGUAGAUAUCAGGAGGAACACCGGUGGUGUAGACGGCUCUCUGGACCGUAACUGACGCUGAAACACGAAAGCGUGGGUAGCAAACAGGAUUAGAUACCCUGGUAGUCCACGCCCUAAACGAUGCAUAUUUGGUGUGGGUCAUUCAGUUGAUCCGUGCCGGAGCUAACGCGUUAAAUAUGUCGCCUGGGGAGUACAGUCGCAAGACUGAA
rnacentral:rRNA from 1 species